rnacentral:rRNA from 1 species
UAGGGAAUAUUGGACAAUGGGCGCAAGCCUGAUCCAGCCAUGCCGCGUGCGGGAUGAAUGCCCUAUGGGUUGUAAACCGCUUUUCUAAGGGAAGAAACCCCCGAUUUCCAUCGGGGCUGACGGUACCUUAGGAAUAAGCACCGGCUAACUCCGUGCCAGCAGCCGCGGUAAUACGGAGGGUGCAAGCGUUAUCCGGAAUCACUGGGUUUAAAGGGUGCGCAGGCGGACCGGUAAGUCAGUGGUGAAAGGUCUGAGCUCAACUCAGAAAUUGCCAUUGAUACUGUCGGUCUUGAGUACAGUUGAGGCAAGCGGAAUGCGUCAUGUAGCGGUGAAAUGCAUAGAUAUGACGCAGAACACCAAUUGCGAAGGCAGCUUGCUAAACUGUCACUGACGCUGAGGCACGAAAGCGUGGGGAGCGAACA